rfam:Rhizobium sp. Leaf453 contig_1, whole genome shotgun sequence.
CCCAUGGGGUCUGCGAAUACCCCACGAGGCGUCAUGCCAGAAUUUCGCGUCCAUUCUUUCCAAAAAAGGGACGUAAUCAUG